GGCGGAGGUUGUGGUGAGCUGAGAUUGCGCCAUUGCACUCCAGCCUGGGCAGCAAGAGUGAAACUCCAUCUCAAAAAAAGAAAAACUAGUGGAUUCAUGAAUAGGAUUGUGAUGUGAUGGAAAUGUAUUAAAAAUAUUUGUUUUGUGAGAGGGUUGUGGGUGGGUGGGUGGCUGGUGGUGAUAGUGGGGAGAUAGUAAAAGUAUAUGCAUUUCAGAAAAAUUAGGCAGAACCCUUGGUUCAGAAAGAAGUUUCCCAUUUAACAUAUUAACAUUGUUACAGUGUACAGACAGGCAAACAAUAUAAAUAUGCUGAAGGAGGGAAUGAAAAUUGAAGCAACUCAUGUAAAGAAAAAACAACUUCACCACUACCUUCCUGCAGAAAUUCUUCAAAAGAAGAAAAAGCAAAGUCUCUCUGAUGUCAAUCGAAGCUCGGGCGGACUUCAAUCCAAAAGAUUGUCUCUGGAUAGCAGUUGUCUGGAUAGCUCCAGAGACACUGAUAAUGGAACACCUUUUAAUUCUCCAGCGUCCAAGUCUGAUAGCCCUUCUGUAGGAGAAACAGAAAGGAAUAGUGCUGAGCCUGCUGCUGUAAUUGUGGAGAAGCCACUGAGUGUACCACCAGCCCAAGGACUUUCCAUUCCAGUGAUUGGCGCAAAAGUUGACUCUACAGUAAAAACUGUAUCACCCCC
rnacentral:sRNA from 1 species